UGAUCUGGCUCAGGACGAACGCUGGCGGCGUGCUAACACAUGCAAGUCGUGGGAGAAAGCCACCUUCGGGAGGCGAGUACACCGGCGGACGGGUGCGUAACACGUGAGCAACUUGCCCGACAGAGGGGGAUAACUCGGGGAAACCCGGGCUAAUACCCCAUGAUGUGGUUACCUCGCAUGAGGAAGCCACCAAAGGGGGCGAUCCUUCGGGAGCUCUCAUUGUCGGAUAGGCUCGCGGCCUAUCGGCUUGUUGGUAGGGUAAUGGCCUACCAAGGCGAUGACGGGUAGCUGGUCUGAGAGGAUGAUCAGCCACACGGGGACUGAGACACGGCCCCGACUCCUACGGGAGGCAGCAGUGGGGAAUUUUGGACAAUGGGCGAAAGCCUGAUCCAGCGACGCCGCGUGCGGGAGGAAGCCCCUAGGGGUGUAAACCGCUGUCAGGGGGGAAGAACGGGUCCGGACGAAUAAUCCGGAUCUCUGACGGUACCUCCAGAGGAAGCGCCGGCUAACUCCGUGCAGCAGCCGCGGUAAUACGGAGGGCGCAAGCGUUGUCCGGAAUUACUGGGCGUAAAGGGGGCGCAGGCGGCAUUGGUAAGUCCUAUGUGAAAGCCCGCAGCUCAACUGCGGAAAGCCAAUAGGAUACAUGCCGAGCUUGAAACAG
rnacentral:rRNA from 2 species